CCUCGAAAAGAUGGAAACAAAUAAACGCAAACAACGCCAUCGAACGGUGGCGAUAGAGAGCCAAAUCCGGUGUGUAAUAAAUGGAUCAUUCUCUUUGACCGUAAAGAACAGGGUUUCCUGGGCCU
rnacentral:sRNA from 1 species